UACGGGGGGAGCAAGCGUUGUUCGGAUUUACUGGGCGUAAAGGGCGCGUAGGCGGCCACGGCAAGUCAAUUGUGAAAUCUCCGGGCUCAACCCGGAACGGUCAACUGAUACUGCGGGGCUAGAGUGCAGAAGGGGCAACUGGAAUUCUCGGUGUAGCGGUGAAAUGCGUAGAUAUCGAGAGGAACACCUGCGGCGAAGGCGGGUUGCUGGGCUGACACUGACGCUGACAGCGCGAAAGCUAGGGGAGCGAACGGG
rnacentral:rRNA from 1 species